rnacentral:misc_RNA from 1 species
GAAGAAGAAGAAGAAGAGAAGAAAAUGAGGAGAGUCUUCGGCGUUAAGAAAGAUAAAGAACCUCCUCCUUCUAUUCAAGAUGCUUCCGAUAGGAUUAAUAAAAGAGGUGAUUCAGUGGAUGAGAAGAUCAAAAAGCUUGAUGCUGAGCUCACUAGGUAUAGGGAACAGAUUAAGAAAACACGGCCUGGACCUGCUCAAGAGGCUAUAAAAGCUCGAGCUAUGAGGGUUCUUAAACAAAAGCGAAUGUAUGAAGGACAACGAGACAUGCUUUACAACCAAACGUUCAACCUUGAUCAAGUUGCGUUUGCUUCUGAGGGUAUUAAAGAUGCUCAGCAAACUAUGACGGCUUUGAAAUCUGCUAACAAGGAGUUGAAAGGAAUGAUGAAAACUGUGAAGAUCCAAGACAUAGAUACCUUGCAAGAUGAGAUGAUGGACUUGAUGGAUGUGAGUAACGAAAUCCAAGAGACCCUGGGUAGAAGCUACAAUGUUCCAGAUGAUAUUGAUGAGGAUGAACUCAUGGGAGAACUGGAUGCAUUGGAGGCAGACAUGGGAAUGGAAACUGAAUCUGAUGGUGUACCUUCUUAUCUCCAACCUGAUAAGGAACCUGAUCUGGAAUCAGAAAUCAACUUGCCCUCGGCACCAAUAGGACAUGCAGCAGCACCAGUGGGUAGAAAUAAUGCCCAGGUAAAUAUGAUAUUUAAUUUAUUUUCUUCUGUUGUAUUGAAAGAUGAUUAGAUGCUGGUGGAAGCGGCUGCCAAAUACUAAUGCUGUUGAGUCUUUGGUUAGUUUAUUGGUUAAUGCAUCUGCAUGUGCCAAAAAAUAAAUAAAUAAAAUAAACCAUAACUCUCGCUCUCCUGCUGUAACAAUUUGCUUAUGGAUAAUGGAUUUUGUAGUUGAAUUUGUUUGGGGUGUCAUUAAGUUUAAAAAUUAGGUUUUACUCUAAUAGUUGCAUGAGUGCUAGGAGAGGGAUAUUUGAUUACAUCAAUUAAUUUGCAUUGUCAUAAUAAUUGCUAUUGAUUUCUUUUAUUGUUAAUUUAUUGGCAAAGAAAAUGUUCUAGCAUUAGUUUAAGGGAGCGGCUUAAACUAAUUUACUUGAGCACAUAAAAUUCAGCUUAAGAGAGCAGCUUCUCUUUUCAUACCUAAAAACUAGUUUUCCUCAAGAAUAUAAAAAUCAGAGUUAGAAAUGUUGGGCUUGUCAUGAAUCUUCCCUUUCUAAUUUUCCUAUUUUGUGGAUUUUAACGUUGGA